rnacentral:rRNA from 1 species
UGCAAGUCGAACGGAAAGGCCCAGCUUGCUGGGUACUCGAGUGGCGAACGGGUGAGUACACGUGGGUGAUCUGCCCUGCACUCUGGGAUAAGCCUGGGAAACUGGGUCUAAUACCGGAUAUGACCAACUGUCGCAUGGUGGUUGGUGGAAAGCUUUUGCGGUGUGGGAUGGGCCCGCGGCCUAUCAGCUUGUUGGUGGGGUAAUGGCCUACCAAGGCGACGACGGGUAGCCGACCUGAGAGGGUGAUCGGCCACACUGGGACUGAGACACGGCCCAGACUCCUACGGGAGGCAGCAGUGGGGAAUAUUGCACAAUGGGCGCAAGCCUGAUGCAGCGACGCCGCGUGAGGGAUGACGGCCUUCGGGUUGUAAACCUCUUUCACCAGGGACGAAGCGUGAGUGACGGUACCUGGAGAAGAAGCACCGGCCAACUACGUGCCAGCAGCCGCGGUAAUACGUAGGGUGCGAGCGUUGUCCGGAAUUACUGGGCGUAAAGAGCUCGUAGGCGGUUUGUCGCGUCGUCUGUGAAAUUCUGCAACUCAAUUGCAGGCGUGCAGGCGAUACGGGCAGACUUGAGUACUACAGGGGAGACUGGAAUUCCUGGUGUAGCGGUGAAAUGCGCAGAUAUCAGGAGGAACACCGGUGGCGAAGGCGGGUCUCUGGGUAGUAACUGACGCUGAGGAGCGAAAGCGUGGGUAGCGAACAGGAUUAGAUACCCUGGUAGUCCACGCCGUAAACGGUGGGUACUA